rnacentral:snoRNA from 1 species
GUGUGUAGGUGUAUGCGUGUCUCUGUGUAUGAGCACUGCCUC